CGUGUGCUCAUCGAAUUAAGCAAAAUAAAUAUAUUCACCUGUUUAUCAAAAACAUGUCUUGAUUGAAAAUAAUUUUAAGUCAAUCUGCCCACCGAAUAAAUUAAAUGGCUGCAGUAUAACUGACUGUACAAAGGUAAUAUAAUAAAUUGAUUUUUAAUUGAAAUCUAGAAAUGAAAGGAUUAAUGAAGUAUAUACUGUCUCAUAUUUAUU